UUUAUAGACCUGAUACUGUACACUUUCCAGGUACACACCCAGUGUGAUGCCAGCAUUGUUAAGGCCAAGGUUACAUCAGGUCCAGUUUACCAAGUGAUGUAAUUGGAAGAGUGUGGUGCCUCCUACUGGCCGGUCACAGAAGCAAGUAAAUGCUACAUGGAGUGACACUCGACUGCCGUAAUGGAAAUCUAAACAUAGAUCUGUUCAGGGACACCAUGAGUCAGGUAGGUCUGGUUGAUACCCGAUUUGCAUAAUCAGGUCAGUACCAGUUCAGAUUGUGAUACCGUAUAUCAGACUGGUGCAUCUUUGGUGUUCUGCAUCAUUUCUCCACAGCUUGUCUUCUGCAGGUGAGUCGAGCCGGACCAGGUGAUCACCCUCUCACCAAGGCUGACCGUUUUCCUCUGGUGUUCAGAGUUCACAUCAUGUCUAGCACCAUUUGAAAUCGGUUACAAUGUGGAGGGACUGUCAACAGCUGCACACUGCUGAAACAGGUUCUGUGAAGCAAAGUUUUCAUCAAACAGCUCCAUGGUGUACUUCUUUAAUCUACCAGAAGGUGGCAACAUCAUGCUUUGUCCAACAGCAAAGAACUCCACAUGACACUCAUCAGGCAUAGGAUGUACAAAGGUACAUCAUUUAUUUUGUUUGCAUUUUAAUUAAGACUUCUUUUGAUUGUUGAAAAAUAAAGUUCUUAGUGGGACUG